rnacentral:lncRNA from 1 species
UCCGCACGGGUUCUCACAUACCUUCUCCGUUCAAGCUCCGACGUCCUCGUUAGGUUAAGAGUUCAAAUCUAUUCAAAUCUAAUCACAAACACCAUGAUCGGCCCAUGGUCAGCCCCAAUGGAUCCGUGCUGCAGUGUCCCCUAAUCCACAUAGGUUAUGGGCUAGGUCCGCUUUGAUACCAUUUGUAAUAACUCAGGACCUUAUCCAAAAUGGCUAGCUGGAAUGUAUUAUUUGGAUUUCUUAAUCUUGUAUAA